AUGUCUCCCCUCACCAUCGUCCUCGUCCUCGCCGUGGCCGCGACGGCCGCGCCGCUAUCACACGCCGCCUGCGCCGACGGCGGCGCCACGAUGCUGCACGGGGUGGCGAACGACGUGCUCCUGGAGUACGGCCUCCCCAAGGGCCUCCUCCCGGACUCGGUCAACUCCUACACCUUCGACAACGCCACCGGCGACUACCAGAUCGAGCUGGCCAGCAGCUGCUACGUCUGGUUCGGCGACCACUACGUCUACUUCGACAAGAAGCUCAGCGGCACCAUCUCCCACGGCGCCAUCACCAACCUCUCCGGCGUCAUGGCCAAGAAGCUCUUCAUCUGGGUCUCCAUCACCAGCAUGACCGCGCACCUGGAGCGGGGGGUGAUCGAGUUCCGCGCCGGCUUCAUCACCGAGGACGUGCCGGCGUCGCUGUUCCAGGAGAUCCCCGUCUGUGUCGACGGCGUCGGCGAGCAGCUCCGGGGUGCGGCUGGGGUGGUCCGGGAGCUUGGCCUGCUCCCCGUCGCCGAGGUGUGA
rnacentral:rRNA from 1 species